UUAACGAAGGCACACAUCUCGUCCUACAUACACCGUUGUGCCGAACGGUAGUCAAAUGAAUCGAAGAUGAAAAUUAUGAAGAUUUUUAUAAACAGUGCAGAUAUCAGACGUUCAAUGUUUUAUAUUUUGAUUGUUAAAGUAAUAUCUUUUAUUGUUUUGCCACAUAUUUUUCGUUUAUGAGUCACAUGUUGAAAUAAAGCCGGAAAGUUAAAGGAAAUGUGAAAAGUGCUCGGCAAAGCUCGGCUCCCUAUGUAUCGGUUGGCCAUACAGAUCGUUAUAAACCACACCGCGUGUCUGUUUACACGGCGGUACGGGGCUGGAGUCGAAAUUGAUAUUGAUUUACAUCAGCACUGAUCGCAAGUGCUCUCAGGUAAUACAAUUACAUACCGGUUAGAAUGAUGCCGUAUUUCAGAAUACAGUGUUUUUAUUUAAUAUUUUAUCAUUAUUUAAUUUAUAGUACGAAUAUAUUGAUAUCUGUUUUUGGUAAGGUUAUGAUGUUUUCAUUACAUAUUAUGUUUUUCUUGCUAUCAAUAUUCUCUAAUGUAUAAAACAUAUUUGAAUGUAUCCAUUUCACUCCAGCAUAUUUAUUUUGCAGACGCGGUAUCCUGGACUGUUUUUGAUACUAGUGACGUCAUAGUACAACACUCGUUUUGGCUGCUUUAACUUAAUAAUUCAUAUUUUAAGAAUACUAGAAAAUUGUGCUUAAAUUCACAAUAUAAUCACCAGGGUGAAGAAAUGUUAAUUUUCUUUUAAUUUAUUUGUGGUGAUUAAUUUUUUUUUUGUAUUUUUUCUUUUGUGUUUUCUAUAUCUUUGAUAUUUUUUACGCAUAAGUAUUUUACAACACUCUUUGAAACUCCGCACUUCGGUGAGACGUUGUUAGUGUAUAUUAUGAUCUUUUUACAGAUUUUAGAUUGUACAAAAACAAUCUGUAUUACAUAGGUAGUCUGUUCCCCGACACCGACUGCGUGCAAUAAUGUUUAUUUUUUAUACUGUUCGUGUAAAUAUAACAAAUAAUCUUUUAUCACAUAUGAGAUACAGAAAAGUAUUUUGUGUUAAAUAUUACACUUAAGAUUACUAUGUAUCAUAAGAUUAAGGAAAAUUGUAUAUUGUAGCACUUAGUCAAGGCUUUGUAUGGGUUGGAUUUCGUAAAUCGCGUUACUGGAGAAUUGAUUCCACUUUCAGAAAAAAACGAACUUAAUUUUUUUUUUUUUAAUUUGUCAAAUCUUGUUGACAAGCAAUUAAAAAAAUAUCCAUCCGUAUAUAUUUUAUAUAUAUUUCUUAACUAUUCCUUUUUUUCACGUACUUACCAUAGUUUUAUUUUCUCCAAAGAGUAUAAGCGAUUAGUUUAUAUGACCCUUACAAAAAUAUUACAUAAUAUAAGUAUAGAACAUAGUUUAAAAUAUCUGUUACUAUUUUCACUGACAUACAACAUAAUGCUAAAUUAAAAAAAAUAUAUAUGCAGAAAAA